UACAGAGGGGGCAAGCGUUGUUCGGAAUUACUGGGCGUAAAGGGCGCGUAGGCGGCCUGCUAAGUCGAACGUGAAAUCCCUGGGCUCAACCCAGGAACUGCGUCCGAUACUGGUUGGCUUGAAUCCGGGAGAGGGACGUGGAAUUCCAGGUGUAGCGGUGAAAUGCGUAGAUAUCUGGAGGAACACCGGUGGCGAAGGCGGCCUGCUGGGCAGUGGCUGACGCUGAGGCGCGACAGCGUGGGGAGCAAACAGA
rnacentral:rRNA from 1 species